UACGUAGGGGGCGAGCGUUGUCCGGAUUCAUUGGGCGUAAAGGGUGCGUAGGCGGCGCGGUAAGUCAGGUGUGAAAUCUUGGAGCUUAACUCCGAAACUGCAUUCGAUACUGCCGUGCUUGAGGACUGGAGAGGAGACUGGAAUUUACGGUGUAGCGGUGAAAUGCGUAGAUAUCGUAAGGAAGACCAGUGGCGAAGGCGGGUCUCUGGACAGUUCCUGACGCUGAGGCACGAAGGCCAGGGGAGCAAACGGG
rnacentral:rRNA from 1 species